CCUACGGGAGGCAGCAGUGGGGAAUUUUGGACAAUGGGCGAAAGCCUGAUCCAGCCAUUCCGCGUGAGUGAAGAAGGCCUUCGGGUUGUAAAGCUCUUUCGCAAGGAAAGAAAACUUAUCUCCUAAUACGGGGUGAGGAUGACGGUACCUUGAUAAGAAGCACCGGCUAACUACGUGCCAGCAGCCGCGGUAAUACGUAGGGUGCGAGCGUUAAUCGGAAUUACUGGGCGUAAAGCGUGCGCAGGCUGUUUUGUAAGUCAGAUGUGAAAUCCCUGGGCUCAACCUAGGAACUGCGUUUGAAACUACAAGGCUAGAGUGUAGCAGAGGGGGGUAGAAUUCCACGUGUAGCAGUGAAAUGCGUAGAGAUGUGGAGGAAUACCAAUGGCGAAGGCAGCCCCCUGGGUUAACACUGACGCUCAUGCACGAAAGCGUGGGGAGCAAACAGGAUUAGAUACCCUGGUAGUCCACGCCCUAAACGAUGUCUACUAGUUGUUGGGAGAGUAAAAUCUCUUAGUAACGCAGCUAACGCGUGAAGUAGACCGCCUGGGGAGUACGGUCGCAAGAUUAAAACUUAAAGGAAUUGACGGNUGAGACGNGCGAGACGACGACGAGGAGAGG
rnacentral:rRNA from 1 species